GACGCCGAAGGUGGGGCUAAUGACUGGGGUGAAGUCGUAACAAGGUAGCCGUACCGGAAGGUGCGGCUGGAUCACCUCCUAACAGGGAGACAACAAAAUGUUUAAUAUUAAUUUUGUCACCUUAGGUCGAUCGGUACCUCACAUUCUUAAAUUAUUAAGGAUUUUAUUUCCUAAGUUUUUUCUAGGUCACACCCAUUAUUUUUCCUGGGCCAUUAGCUCAGGUGGUUAGAGCGCACCCCUGAUAAGGGUGAGGUCCCUGGUUCAAGUCCAGGAUGGCCCAUAUCUCUAUGUUGGGGGUAUAGCUCAGUUGGUAGAGCGCCUGCUUUGCAAGCAGGAUGUCAGCGGUUCGAGUCCGCUUACCUCCACUGAUUACCACCUCUUCCAUAAUUUUUUAGAAGGGAAAAUUUUGAGUUGUGAUCUAAUUCUGAACGAAUCUAGCUUCCUAAUAAAUCUGUUAAGAAGCUGGACUCAUUGAAUUAAAUUCAUUGUUUUCAGAGAACCUUGACAACUGCAUAGAUUAUUUUUUAAAGACAAUAAGCAUCUUUAUUGAUGCAGAUUUAUUAUUUGUGCGAAUGCAUUAAUAACAAUUCUAUUAAGCUGAUGCUUCAAUUUUUGAAGUUAUUGGUCAAGCUACAAAGGGCUCACGGAGGAUACCUAGGCACACAGAG
rnacentral:misc_RNA from 1 species